rnacentral:rRNA from 1 species
CGUAGGUGAACCUGCGGAAGGAUCACUAGAGAUUUCGCCCUCCGGGGCUCUCUUUUUCUUCACACACCCCUGUGCACUUUGGCUGCCGCUUCAUUGCGGUGGUCUUUUAUAAUUACCAUACCCAUAUACACAAGUCAUUGAAUGUAAAAUCGUUAUAAACUAAUAUAACUUUCAACAACGGAUCUCUUGGUUCUCGCAUCGAUGAAGAACGCAGCGAAUUGCGAUAAGUAAUGUGAAUUGCAGAAUUCAGUGAAUCAUCGAAUCUUUGAACGCAUCUUGCGCUCUUUGGUAUUCCGAAGAGCAUGCCUGUUUGAGUGUCAUGAAACUCUCACCUGCAGCACUCUUUUAUUAGAGGGCUGGAGCGUGGACGUGAGUGCUGCUGGUGCCCUCGCUGCAUCGGCUCACUUGAAAUUUAUUAGCUGAAUCCUCUAGUGUUGGUUCUACUCGACGUGAUAAGAUCUCCGUCGAGGACAGUGCUCCUUGUGGGCGUUGGCCACCGCUAGCUGUUGAUACGCUCCUAAUUAGCGCAGACUUCGAGUGCUGGCAACUUUUGACAACUUGGCCUCAAAUCAGGUAGGACU